ensembl:lncRNA
UGCAAACUUCCUGUGUGGCCUGGAGCAAACUGCAGCACUUGGUCUGCGUUUUAGUUUCAGACACGUGUGUGGGGUGCAGCUAAUGAGCCCUUUCUCCUGCCCUUUGUCUCCUUACUCUUCUUAGAGAUGUUCUUUAGAGAAGGUCUGCAGAGAUUCUCUGGGGCACAUGGAAGUUUCAACGGGAGGCCCAAAACGCAGUAAGGUGUGUUUCUUUAGUGAAGAGAAGCUAGAGAACUUAAUCUCAUAUCACAGGAGUUGCCCAAGUCUCCCUGUCUCAGCCUGAAUUCCAGGGGGAUGCCAUGCCACCAUAUCUACACAAAUAAUUGUGCUGUUUCCUUCACCUCAUUUGCAAUGUCACCAGAGUAUUUGUGUGGCCUUCUUUGUCAUUUUCACAUGUUGAAAAUAUUUACAAAUAGAAAUAAUAUGCACUACUCCAUGUGACACAGCUUUCCUGUUAAUGAAUUGAUUUUCAAGAUCACACAAGAUGGUUUUUCUUUGGAUAUUUCAUUCCAAAACCCAGGAAAUGUGGCUUGCUGAAUUAAUGAGCAACUCCUGGGAUUUUGGUUGGGCAAUCCAAGCCAAUAUCUAUGCUGGUUAAGAUCUUCACUGUCAAUGAAAACAGGAUUAUAUUUUGGAUUCACAGUCUGAACUAAAAACACCAAAGUAGAUGCCAGUGUGUUUGGAUCAGGCAAGACAUAAUGCCCUGAGAUACACAGUCAUUGAUGACACCCUCUUUCCUGAACAUAAGCCUUAUGAUGUGCAAGAAUUUUUAACAGUGACCUCUGAAUUGGAAACAUAUUCAAAAAUAGAGACACAGAAUGAGGGCUGGCCCCAGCACAGGAGCCUCCUCAUCCCUACAGGAAGAGAGCAAGGACAGAUGCUCUUCCUGGAGUUAGUUUGGAUCAUGCACAGCAGAAGCUCCACUGGGCCUGACACUUGUUAAGGAGAAUUUCCCUUCCUUGUCUGAUUAGCAAUUCCUGAAAUAGAAACAUAUACAUUUCCACAGAAAAAUAAUGUGAUGUCUCCAAAAUUCACCACUCCAGAAUGGUAGCAAGUAGAAAUAAAAGCAAUAGGUGGGACACUGCACUUUAGCUAAUAAAUCUGUCUGAGCCAAGAUUGCUGUAAGUUUUGGAUUAUGGAUCUGUGACCUGCAUAACUCGAUGUUAAUCAAAUGCAAGUUUAUCAUACAACUCCAACAUAAAAAUCGUUGAUGUUCAAGUAAGAACAACACAAGUGUACGGCAUUAGAAGUGUAUUAAGUAAAAAACAGGGAAAAAAUUAAAAUGGAAUUCUCUCCAAGAGGCAUUCUUUGAGUCGUCUCAAAUUACAGAAGAUGGAGGGCUCACCUUCCUCUACAUCUGUGUAGUUAAAUUUGUAGACUGUAAAUAUUCUCUCAGGUUGCUAAGUGAGUUUAUUUUGCACCGUUCCUGGCAUAAAACCAUUCACCAGCUUUUCUGUAAAGUCAUGUGCUUCAUGACUAGCAAUCCCCAAAGCCCAGAUUUUUGUAGCUGGAUUAUAGCCUGUUUGGCAAAUUAAUAUCCUGUGAUAUAGUUAUGAGGAAAAGCCGGACUGCCACAGACAGGCAAGUUUUCACCCUUUUGACCACCUCAGUCUCCAGCUUCCUGCUUACCAAAUAUGCUAUGUGUCUAGAGAUCUAUUCUCCUGUCAGCACCAGCAAAGCAGGGAUUAAGAGCUUUUUUUCAGUCAGUCUCCAUGGCAUCCUGUAUAUUUUGGAGAAAAUCUUUUGUCGUAGCAACUGAAAAGAGAGAGCCACAAAGGUGCUGUGAGUAUGGUGUGAUGCACUCAACCUUUUUGCUUGGUGCUUUCAUAUAUAUGGAAGACUUGGCCUUGUAACUGACAUUACAUUUCCUGAAUUAAUUUUGUUUCAUACUUCCUUUGAUUCCACAUGGUUAAGGCAUUCUGACCGCUGUUGUACUGUGAGCUGACAAGCUUUACAAAAUAACACUAGUCCUCAAAAACAUUUCUUGUGCAUCAACAGCUGAAUUACCUACUCUUUUCUGUACAGAGAUGCACUCUCUUAUACUCUAAGUAAUCUCUGAAAUAUCAUCUGAAUGCUGGAUAUCCUGAGUCAGUCUAUUACUCUAGUUUUAAGGAUUUCCACUCCGAGGAAUGAAAUGCCUUUGAAUUUUCCAAUUAUACUAAGACCACCUUUAGCAAAGGCUAGGUUAAGAUGAAAGAAAAAUGAAUAAUGCAUUUACCAAAUACAAAUAACAAAUUUGCAGAAGCUUUAGAAACAGAUGAGUGGAAGUGAAAACAGAAGCACGCACAUAUCUACAGCUUAGAUAAGCUCCAAAGGUUUCUCUUACCCUGCAGGAUGCAGCUGACAAGCUGAUUAGAUGCUUCAUGGCCUUGUCAGUCUCAUUCUAUGCAAAUCCUAUGUCCUUAACUUGCCUCACAGAAGUCUGAAUUUGCCAGCUUCUGCUCCUUUUUAAGCCCCCAACUUUUUUUUUUUUUUUUUUAGGGGUGGGGGGGAGGGGGCGUUGAUUAAAUGUGGCUUCAGCUUCAUCCUCUCUCCUUCUAUUCUUCAAGCAUUUUUUAUUGAUAGCUUCCAAUAAGAGGUAGUUUCAAAUUUCCUUCCCCGGAACUACUGGCUUUCUCCUUCUGCUUUGGAAAUUCUUAUAUUCCUUGGACAUGCCCAGACGAGGGCAUUGCUUUCUCCUAAACUCAGUGGAAUGUGCUAAUGACUGAGCCCUGCAAAGGGAAGUACUUCAUUAUUAUUCAAAUGCUGGAGCGGAGCCUUCACCAAAACCUUAUGUUUUCAUUUAAAUAUAUAGUUCUGCAGUUUUAUCACCAGAGUUAUCAUAGAGAAAUCAUUACUGGGUUUAAUUUGAAAGUAGAUAAAGUGGCAAGGUUCUGGAAUAUUGAUGGGUUUGAGGGAACACUAAGUCCUAAUCUUGUUAUUGAGCAGUACUAAGACUCAUUUAUUCUCUUCAUGUUAAAGCAAGGAGUGUCUGCAUUUUCCUCCUAUUCCUUUUCUUUGGUAACCUCAGUCUGCAAUUAUAAACUAUCUAUAAAUAAAAUAUUUGUUGAAAUAAAUAUGAGUCAUUAUCUCCCAGAUUUGAGAAUUCCUAUACAAACCUCCAUAAAUAUCUUGGUAGGUUUUCCAAUAGCCCUUGCUGCUUUUACACGAGACAUUCAGAGGAUACCUAAAUCUAGGUGAGAAGGAAAUUAUUCACCUAACUGUGAGGCCAAGAGAAUACGUGCUUUAUACAUAGCUAAAUAGAAAUGGCUGAUAUUAUAGUUAUAUAAUAUAUGUAUCAGCUUGCUGUAAAACAUAAGUGCUAAAGAAAAAGUUAACAUCAGAACCACCAAGCCAGCUGGAUGAUGAAAAAGCAGCUUCAGCCAACACCGGAUCCAGCAGAGCUGUUGAAAGAUCAGGUUGAGUUCAUAAUGAAGUCACCAGAUUAUAAUCUCUUUUAAAUUUUGGAUAAGGUAUUUGGAUGGAUGAGGUAAAAGGAGGAAAUAUAACACAGAUUUUAAAAAGUUUUGGGUGACAUCAUGGGGGGAAUGCUCACAUUGAAAAUUGAGUAUGUAAUAGAAUUAACAGUAGCAGAAUGUGUUGGGGAUUGAUUGGCUAUGUUAUCCACUCACUGUGUGUGGAAGAAAUACAAAUGCAGUAUGACUGAUCAGCCCCCUGAAUAAAUAAUGAGUUUCCAGUACUCUACUGGUGUAUUUCAUAGAUCUGUUUCUAUCAAGUUCAACUAUACAGAAGCAUCUGAGUUCAGAGAUGAUUACCGAAAAAGGAACAAGUAAUAUCAAGUUGGUUUUGUGGGUUUUUUUAGUCAAAUAUUGGACUUUCUAAAAUCCUGCAGAAAAUCGAGCACCUUUUCUGCCCCUUCUUGAUGCAGUAAUAUUUCUAGAAAAUAAUUUAAAAAACAAUAAUAAUAAACACAGUUCCUUGUGGCUGAAAACAUUUUGUUAGAAGUAAAAAUACCUCAGUUAAUAACAUAACAAAGUUUUGAAUGUCACCCAGUAAAAAGUACAAGGUGCCACAAGUGUCCUAGGGAUAUCAAAUCCACUUAAAUAAUAAGGUAAAUGAAAAUUUAAUUAGACUUGAACCUCUGAAAAACACUAAUUUGUUAAGUCUUUUCACACAAGUGGGCCUGUGUGGGACUUGCCUUUGGGACACAAGUUACCAAGCAAUUAAAGUAAGUGCUGCGUAUCUUAAAUUCCCCUUGAUUUCAGGGAAAGAAAAGGCCAUAGGUAUAAAAAGACUCAAAGUACCUUGAUGCUACCCACUGGAAGUGCUCAACUGACUGUAGGAAUUCACCAUGGCCAGUGAGCAAAAAUAAGCAUUUCCCUUCUGUCAACACCUCAUUUGCUUCUCCCUUGAUUUUCCUGUGAUAAGGACUAAGCUCUCUUUUGGAAAUAAUUGUUGUUAAACACUUACGAAGUGUACGACAUACUGAAGAUGCCACUAUUCUGAUUAUCACUGUUCUUGCUCGCAAUAGUAGCUCAGAAGUAUUUCCAUAUUACAGCACUCUCCAUAGGCACCUCUGGAAUUCACACGCUUUCUGAUUCAGGCAACUAACAAAGAUCUGUGUCAGCAGGAUGAGGAACAUUUGGAAAUGGGAAAAAUAAACUGUCCUGAAACUCAUCAAGAAAAUUCUGUGUCUUGAGCUUACAAGUUCUGUCAUUCACUAAAUGACCUCAUCUUCUCUGUACUACUUCUCCAAUGCUUUCUGCCUUCAGAUAGUAGUACUGCUGGGAGGAAGGGCAGCAGGAGGACUUCAGAGGGAUGGAAGUCCUAUUCCCAAACAGUCCUUCCUCUCACAUGCAUUACAAUUUCAACCUUAUGGAUGAAAUAUUUGCAUUUUACCACAUUUCUGUUAACAAUGUUAUUUACUAUCAUUAUCAAGAAAUAGUAACAGUAAUCCCUGUCUAGACAAUUUCCCUUGAUGUGACCUUUCAGUACAUUAAAAAAAAAAAAAAAGUUAUUUCUUUAUCUGGGGAAUGGUUUUCUUUCUAAUAGCUGAUGUCUUGCCUUUAGAAAUUGAUAUUUCAGGAAGAGAAUUUGAAGGCAUCUAGGUCUUAUAAUGUCUAGCGAUGAUGCACCUCAGCACUUAACAGCUUUACGCACUGUCUUACAUUUAAAGGCAUAAAGCGUGUCAUUACGAGACCACAAUGCACACCUCAUCACAUCUUAUUGCUUAAUAAGGUCAUCUAGUCUGCCCACCUCAUUACGUGCAAUGGCUAAUGUCAUAUUUCUACCAUUUUUCUAGAUAUAUUUUAAAAUUCUCAAGGGAAGGUGCUUUCAGAUCAGGAUUUCAGAUCAGGAGUUCACCCGUUCCCUAAUCAGUAUCUCCCAUCAAUACUUCUUAUAAAUAUAGAGGCCUCUUGUGCUUGCUUGCUUUAAGCACAUUGCUUUAUAUAUAUAUAAAAAUAUGUAUAUGCAGUGUUCAGGAAACAAGAUAUAUAUCUCAAGUUUACCCUAAACUCCAUAGCAAGCUGAUGCAUAAGAACAUAGUUCUGUCUCAUACAUGCAAAAAUGUUAGACCCGCUUUGCAAAGAAGUUGCACUCCUACACAUAGGUGCACUCUUCAAAUCUACCACAGAGAGCCACAGUGGGAGCUGAAGGAGCAUAAUACUCAACCAUACAUGAUCCCUAAGUGAAAUGUAUAUUAAUCUUUAUGUGAAGAUCAGGAACAAGACAAAGUGGUGUACUAAAUUUGUGUCAGGUAUUAUUGCAAAUGUAUUAACUAGGCAAUAAAGUCACAUAUUUACAGUAAAAUGUGUAAUUUACUUAUUUGUGUUCAAAAAAAUCAAUGCAAACUUACUCUAUUAUUUAAUAACAUUAUUCCAGACCCAAACCUUUCAUUAUAUUAAAUAGCAUGGAACAGUGUUUUGACUGAAUGGAUUUUCUAAGUAUGCGAAUUGAACUGAAUCAAUUUUUGUAAUUUCAAGGCCAUUCACAGUGAAUACAGUUUAAAGAGUCCAAGGGAGCACUACAGCACAGGAGCACAUUCAUAGUGAAUUGCUUUGAAAUUGGCUGAAGGCUACUUCAUUUUCUUCAACUACAUUUUGAAAAGCUUGUUUCCAUGGGAUAAAUUUAAUUUCAGGUUGAACUGCUGAAUUGAUUAAACGUCUUAUUGCAUCUUGCUGUAACUUUAUUCUAAUUCCAAAGUUCUUUUUUUUCCAAAUAGUAAAAGUUAAAACAACCAUAUCUUUUUUACAACUAAAAUACCUACCUUCUCGUCAGAAACUUCUUCAGCUCUUGUCAACUAAUUUAAUUUUUUUUUCCCGAUUUUUAUGUUUUCAAUGGCCUUGAGCAGUCUUUUUGUCCUCUAUUUUCUGGCUGAACAUCAUCUCAACAAGAUGGCCAAAAAAGCUCUUGACAUUCUUUUUCCUGUAAAAUUAUAAUACUUUCAAUAGUGCAUUAUUAUGAGCAAUUGACAGGAAUGUGUCAUCAGGACUUGUUAGCAUGUUAGGAGGAGGAGAAGUGGAAAGAAGGCAAAGAAAGUUCCAAAAUAACAUUUUUAGGAUUGAGAGAAAGGAUUGGAGAGGGAGAAAAGCUGAUGGAGUAAUUUGUAAAUGUAAAUACAAAGGGGAAACAAAUUUUAAUAAACAUGGAACUGUGUAUAGACAGAAAGAAAAAUAAGUUGCUUUUUAAAAACAGAUGUAAAGUGAAUUUAGUGAUUCUAAACUUAAAACAUUAUCAGCUACCUUCUUUCCUCUCAUUUUGUAUUUCUUCCUGUAAUACUUUUUUCAG